rnacentral:snRNA from 1 species
UGAAGCUAGAGGUGUCAG